rnacentral:rRNA from 1 species
AUUGAACGCUGGCGGCAUGCUUUACACAUGCAAGUCGAACGGUAACAGGCCGCAAGGUGCUGACGAGUGGCGAACGGGUGAGUAAUGCAUCGGAACGUGCCCAGUCGUGGGGGAUAACGCAGCGAAAGCUGCGCUAAUACCGCAUACGAUCUAUGGAUGAAAGCGGGGGACCGUAAGGCCUCGCGCGAUUGGAGCGGCCGAUGUCAGAUUAGGUAGUUGGUGGGGUAAAGGCUCACCAAGCCGACGAUCUGUAGCUGGUCUGAGAGGACGACCAGCCACACUGGGACUGAGACACGGCCCAGACUCCUACGGGAGGCAGCAGUGGGGAAUUUUGGACAAUGGGCGCAAGCCUGAUCCAGCAAUGCCGCGUGCAGGAAGAAGGCCUUCGGGUUGUAAACUGCUUUUGUACGGAACGAAACGGCUCUGGUUAAUACCUGGGGCUAAUGACGGUACCGUAAGAAUAAGCACCGGCUAACUACGUGCCAGCAGCCGCCGUAACAC